UGCAGUCGAACGAUGAAGCCCUUCGGGGUGGAUUAGUGGCGAACGGGUGAGUAACACGUGGGCAAUCUGCCCUUCACUCUGGGACAAGCCCUGGAAACGGGGUCUAAUACCGGAUAACACUCCUCAGGGCAUCUUGAGGGGUUAAAAGCUCCGGCGGUGAAGGAUGAGCCCGCGGCCUAUCAGCUUGUUGGUGGGGUAAUGGCCUACCAAGGCGACGACGGGUAGCCGGCCUGAGAGGGCGACCGGCCACACUGGGACUGAGACACGGCCCAGACUCCUACGGGAGGCAGCAGUGGGGAAUAUUGCACAAUGGGCGAAAGCCUGAUGCAGCGACGCCGCGUGAGGGAUGACGGCCUUCGGGUUGUAAACCUCUUUCAGCAGGGAAGAAGCGCAAGUGACGGUACCUGCAGAAGAAGCGCCGGCUAACUACGUGCCAGCAGCCGCGGUAAUACGUAGGGCGCAAGCGUUGUCCGGAAUUAUUGGGCGUAAAGAGCUCGUAGGCGGCUUGUCACGUCGGAUGUGAAAGCCCGGGGCUUAACCCCGGGUCUGCAUUCGAUACGGGCUAGCUAGAGUGUGGUAGGGGAGAUCGGAAUUCCUGGUGUAGCGGUGAAAUGCGCAGAUAUCAGGAGGAACACCGGUGGCGAAGGCGGAUCUCUGGGCCAUUACUGACGCUGAG
rnacentral:rRNA from 1 species